GGGAGCGUAGCUCAGGGGAAGAGCGUCUGCCUUACAAGCAGAAGGUCGUAGGUUCAAGUCCUGCCGCUCCCACCA
rnacentral:tRNA from 1 species